AGUGAACGCUGGCGGUAGGCCUAACACAUGCAAGUCGAACGGCAGCACAGUAAGAGCUUGCUCUUACGGGUGGCGAGUGGCGGACGGGUGAGGAAUACAUCGGAAUCUACUUUUUCGUGGGGGAUAACGUAGGGAAACUUACGCUAAUACCGCAUACGACCUACGGGUGAAAGCAGGGGAUCUUCGGACCUUGCGCGAUUGAAUGAGCCGAUGUCGGAUUAGCUAGUUGGCGGGGUAAAGACCCACCAAGGCGACGAUCCGUAGCUGGUCUGAGAGGAUGAUCAGCCACACUGGAACUGAGACACGGUCCAGACUCCUACGGGAGGCAGCAGUGGGGAAUAUUGGACAAUGGGCGCAGGCCUGAUCCAGCCAUACCGCGUGGGUGAAGAAGGCCUUCGGGUUGUAAAGCCCUUUUGUUGGGAAAGAAAAGCAGCAGGUUAAUACCCCGCUGUUCUGACGGUACCCAAAGAAUAAGCACCGGCUAACUUCGUG
rnacentral:rRNA from 1 species